rnacentral:rRNA from 1 species
GGCCUUGCGCUCUUUGAGCGGCCGAUGUCAGAUUAGCUAGUUGGUGAGGUAAAGGCUUACCAAGGCGACGAUCUGUAGCGGGUCUGAGAGGAUGAUCCGCCACACUGGAACUGAGACACGGUCCAGACUCCUACGGGAGGCAGCAGUGGGGAAUUUCGGACAAUGGGGGCAACCCUGAUCCAGCCAUGCCGCGUGAGUGAAGAAGGCCUUCGGGUUGUAAAGCUCUUUCGGCCGGGAAGAAAUCGCAUGGGCCAAUACCCUGUGUGGAUGACGGUACCGGAAUAAGAAGCACCGGCUAACUACGUGCCAGCAGCCGCGGUAAUACGUAGGGUGCGAGCGUUAAUCGGAAUUACUGGGCGUAAAGCGUGCGCAGGCGGUUUUGUAAGACAGGCGUGAAAUCCCCGAGCUUAACCUGGGAACUGCGUUUGUGACUGCAAGGCUAGAGUACGGCAGAGGGGGGGUGGAAUUCCACGUGUAGCAGUGAAAUGCGUAGAGAUGUGGAGGAACACCAAUGGCGAAGGCAGCCCCCUGGGUCGAUACUGACGCUCAUGCACGAAAGCGUGGGUAGCAAACAGGAUUAGAUACCCUGGUAGUCCACGCCCUAAACUAUGUCAACUAGGUGUUGGGUGGGUAAAACCAUUUAGUACCGUAGCUAACGCGUGAAGUUGACCGCCUGGGGAGUACGGCCGCAAGGUUAAAACUCAAAGGAAUUGACGGGGACCCGCACAAGCGGUGGAUGAUGUGGAUUAAUUCGAUGCAACGCGAAAAACCUUACCUACCCUUGACAUGCCAGGAACUUGCCAGAGAUGGCUUGGUGCCCGAAAGGGAGCCUGGACACAGGUGCUGCAUGGCUGUCGUCAGCUCGUGUCGUGAGAUGUUGGGUUAAGUCCCGCAACGAGCGCAACCCUUGUCGUUAAUUGCCAUCAUUUAGUUGGGCACUUUAACGAGACUGCCGGUGACAAACCGGAGGAAGGUGGGGAUGACGUCAAGUCCUCAUGGCCCUUAUGGGUAGGGCUUCACACGUCAUACAAUGGUCGGUACAAAGGGUUGCCAAGCCGCGAGGCGGAGCCAAUCCCAGAAAGCCGAUCGUAGUCCGGAUUGCAGGCUGCAACUCGCCUGCAUGAAGUCGGAAUCGCUAGUAAUCGUGGAUCAGCAUGUCACGGUGAAUACGUUCCCGGGUCUUGUACACACCGCCCGUCACACCAUGGGAGCGGGUUCCGCCAGAAGUAGGUAGCCUAACCGCAAGGGGGGCGCUACCACGGCGGGGUUCGUGACUGGGGUGAAGUCGAAACAAGGUA